rnacentral:rRNA from 1 species
UAUUCGGGGAGACAGGUGGUGCAUGGUUGUCGUCAGCUCGUGUCGUGAGAUGUUGGGUUAAGUCCCGCAACGAGCGCAACCCUAUUGCUAGUUACCAUCAUUAAGUUGGGGACUCUAGCGAGACUGCCAGUGAUAAACUGGAGGAAGGUGGGGAUGACGUCAAAUCAUCAUGCCCCUUAUGACCUGGGCUACAAACGUGAUACAAUGGCUGGAACAAAGGGAUGCGAAGCAGUGAUGUGGAGCGAAACCCAUAAAAACAGUCUCAGUUCGGAUUGAAGUCUGCAACUCGACUUCAUGAAGUCGGAAUCGCUAGUAAUCGCGGAUCAGAACGCCGCGGUGAAUACGUUCUCGGGGUUU